rnacentral:rRNA from 1 species
GAUCCUGGCUCAGAACGAACGCUGGCGGCAUGGAUUAGGCAUGCAAGUCGAACGAAGCAGCAAUGCUUAGUGGCGCAAGGGUGAGGAACACGUGAGUGACCUACCCGCAAGUUUGGAACAGCUCCUGGAAACGGGAAUUAAUACCGGAUGUGAUCGAUGAACUGCAUGGUUUAUUGAUUAAGCAGCAAUGCGCUUGCGGAUGGGCUCGCGUCCCAUUAGCUAGUUGGUGAGGUAACGGCCCACCAAGGCCAUGAUGGGUAGCUGGUCUGAGAGGACGACCAGCCACACUGGGACUGAGAACUGCCCAGACUCCUACGGGAGGCUGCAGUCGAGUAAUUUUGGGCAAUGGACGAAAGUCUUCGACCCAGCAAUGCCGCGUGCGGGAUGAAGGUCUUCGGAUUGUAAACCGCUGUUUGGAGGGACGAAAAUUGACGGUACUUCCAGAGGAAGCCACGGCUAACUACGUGCCAGCCGCAGC